rnacentral:rRNA from 1 species
UACGGGAGGCAGCAGUGGGGAAUAUUGCACAAUGGGCGCAAGCCUGAUGCAGCCAUGCCGCGUGUAUGAAGAAGGCCUUCGGGUUGUAAAGUACUUUCAGUCGUGAGGAAGGUGUUAAGGUUAAUAACCUUAGCAAUUGACGUUAGCGACAGAAGAAGCACCGGCUAACUCCGUGCCAGCAGCCGCGGUAAUACGGAGGGUGCGAGCGUUAAUCGGAAUUACUGGGCGUAAAGGGCACGCAGGCGGUUAAUUAAGUUGGAUGUGAAAUCCCCGGGCUUAACCUGGGAAUGGCAUUCAAGACUGGUUAGCUAGAGUCUUGUAGAGGGGGUAGAAUUCCGAUGUGUAGCGGUGAAAUGCGUAGAGAUGUGGAGGAAUACCGGUGGCGAAGGCGGCCCCUGGACAAAGACUGACGCUCAUGUGCGAAAGCGUGGGGAGCGAAAC